rnacentral:rRNA from 1 species
UGGGGAAUUUUGGACAAUGGGCGAAAGCCUGAUCCAGCAAUGCCGCGUGUGUGAAGAAGGCCUUCGGGUUGUAAAGCACUUUUGUCCGGAAAGAAAUCCUUGGCUCUAAUACAGUCGGGGGAUGACGGUACCGGAAGAAUAAGCACCGGCUAACUACGUGCCAGCAGCCGCGGUAAUACGUAGGGUGCAAGCGUUAAUCGGAAUUACUGGGCGUAAAGCGUGCGCAGGCGGUUUGCUAAGACCGAUGUGAAAUCCCCGGGCUCAACCUGGGAACUGCAUUGGUGACUGGCAGGCUAGAGUAUGGCAGAGGGGGGUAGAAUUCCACGUGUAGCAGUGAAAUGCGUAGAGAUGUGGAGGAAUACCGAUGGCGAAGGCAGCCCCCUGGGCCAAUACUGACGCUCAUGCACGAAAAGCGUGGGGAGCAAAACAGGAUUAGAUACCCUGGUAGUCCACGCCCUAAAACGAUGUCAACUAGUUGUUGGGGAUUCAUUUCCUUAGUAACGUAGCUAACGCGUGAAGUUGACCGCCUGGGGAGUACGGUCGCAAGAUUAAAACUUAAAGGAAUUGACGGGGUCAUAGCUGUUUCCU